AUGAACGCUGGCGGCGUGCCUAAUACAUGCAAGUCGAGCGAACAGAUGAGGAGCUUGCUCCUCUGACGUUAGCGGCGGACGGGUGAGUAACACGUGGAUAACCUACCUAUAAGACUGGGAUAACUUCGGGAAACCGGAGCUAAUACCGGAUAAUAUAUUGAACCGCAAGGUUCAAUAGUGAAAGACGGUUUUGCUGUCACUUAUAGAUGGAUCCGCGCCGCAUUAGCUAGUUGGUAAGGUAACGGCUUACCAAGGCAACGAUGCGUAGCCGACCUGAGAGGGUGAUCGGCCACACUGGAACUGAGACACGGUCCAGACUCCUACGGGAGGCAGCAGUAGGGAAUCUUCCGCAAAGGGCGAAAGCUUGACGGAGCAACGCCGCGUGAGUGAUGAAGGUCUUCGGAUCGUAAAACUCUGUUAUUAGGGAAGAACAAAUGUGUAAGUAACUAUGCACGUCUUGACGGUACCUAAUCAGAAAGCCACGGCUAACUACGUG
rnacentral:rRNA from 1 species